rnacentral:rRNA from 1 species
GACGGAGGGUGCUAGCGUUGUUCGGAUUUACUGGGCGUAAAGGGCGCGUAGGCGGCGCGGUAAGUCACUUGUGAAAUCUCUGAGCUUAACUCAGAACGGCCAAGUGAUACUGCAGUGCUAGAGUGUGGAAGUGGCAAUCGGAAUUCUUGGUGUAGCGGUGAAAUGCGUAGAUAUCAAGAGGAACACCUGAGGUGAAGACGGGUUGCUGGGCCAACACUGACGCUGAUGCGCGAAAGCCAGGGGAGCAAACGGG